AUGAAGCACCCCCAAGAGUUCUUUAUUCACACAUUUUUUCAAGGUUGGGGGUUUAAUGUAAGUUUUCUGCUAUUAAAACUGCAACUUUCCAUCCUGAUUGUGUCCAUGAUUAAGUUUUGGGUGUGGGCAGGGCAGGAGAUCAAGCACUCCGUCCUCUGCCAGGUCGCCGCCGCUGCCCGGGACGUGGACGCGCACGUGGGUCCGUCAGUCGCUGGCAAACAAGGUCGAGUCCGUGCAGAGCACUGGUCUCCUCCCUAUCGUCGUCGUCCUCCCUGCUGCCAGCGACGCCCUCCUGUCUCCUCUGCACCAGUCUACUCCUUCAUAUUAUUUACAAAAGAAAAUGGUUUGGGGUGA
rnacentral:rRNA from 1 species